UACGGAGGGUGCAAGCGUUAAUCGGAAUUACUGGGCGUAAAGCGCACGUAGGCGGCCACUCAAGUCGGGGGUGAAAGCCCGGGGCUCAACCCCGGAACUGCCUUCGAAACUAGGUAGCUAGAAUCUUGGAGAGGCGAGUGGAAUUCCGAGUGUAGAGGUGAAAUUCGUAGAUAUUCGGAAGAACACCAGUGGCGAAGGCGACUCGCUGGACAAGUAUUGACGCUGAGGUGCGAAAGCGUGGGGAGCAAACAGG
rnacentral:rRNA from 1 species